CCUACGGGAGGCAGCAGUGGGGAAUAUUGGGCAAUGGGCGCAAGCCUGACCCAGCAACGCCGCGUGAAGGAAGAAGGCUUUCGGGUUGUAAACUUCUUUUGUCAGGGAAGAGUAGAAGACGGUACCUGACGAAUAAGCCACGGCUAACUACGUGCCAGUAGCCGCGGUAAUACGUAGGUGGCAAGCGUUGUCCGGAUUUACUGGGUGUAAAGGGCGUGUAGCCGGGUUGACAAGUCAGAUGUGAAAUCCUGCGGCUUAACCGCAGAACUGCAUUUGAAACUGUUGAUCUUGAGUACUGGAGAGGCAGACGGAAGUCCUAGUGUAGCGGUGAAAUGCGUAGAUAUUAGGAGGAACACCAGUGGCGAAGGCGGUCUGCUGGACAGCAACUGACGGUGAGGCGCGAAAGCGUGGGGAGCAAACAGGAGUAGAUACCCCGGUAGUC
rnacentral:rRNA from 1 species